AGGCAGAUGAAUAAAACAUACACAAGUUAAGAAAAAAAAACAUAAAUAAACAACUUUUGCUUACAAGCCAAUAAAGUUUCAUUGAUGCAUUUGCACGGCGCAACUUUGUCACCAACAAACAACAAGAACAGCAAGCAAACCAGCAACAGCAGCACGCGCGCGACUUGCAGUCGCUGUUUAUCCGCUCUUACCGCUUUCCAUGUGCAGGGUCAGCCGCGCGUCCGCGGCUCGGAUGGCGGCGGAGUAAAGCUCCUCUCUGCCCGGGACCUGCGCCUUCCUCUCGGGCAGCAGCCGCACACGCAGCCGCCCGCCCUCUGCCCCGAGCCACCACUCCAUCACGCUGGUCAGGUCCAUGUAGAGGAAAGUGGCGGUGGAGGUGGAGCGCAGCCCCCCGCAUCCUUGCCGCACCAUGUCCUCCCCCACCUCCACCACCACCUGGUUGGACUUGCGGCUGGCUUUGCUGAGGCCCACUUGGAGCACUGUGGGGCCCGAGCCCGACCCCAAACCCAAACCCGUGCCCUGCUUCCUCCUGUCCCCUUCCAUGUCGCCCCCCAACUCCCCUCCCUCCAUCAGGCUGGCCAUGGUCCUCUGCAGCGGCGCGCAGCGCAUCCGGAGUCCGGCGCGCACGGCGAUGCGCACGGCGUCGCGCUCCUGGCUGAGCGGCCGCUUGGAGAACAGCGCCAUGUAGUGCCGCAGCAGCGACGGCACGGCGAAGUCCACCGACAGGCUCUUCCGCUUCGUGCGCGAGAGCAGCGUCUGGCUCGGGUCCCUCCUGAUGCCCCCGCUGAAGCUGCUGAUGCUGAUGCUGAUGCUGCUGUCCCAGCCGUCCAGCGCGGGCACGACGCUCAUCACGGAGCACGAGAGCAGGAGCAGCACCUUGGACAGCGCCUUGGCCAUGCUUGUGUCCUGGACGAUGCUCUCUCUCACUCUCUCUCUCUAUAUCCCCCCCACCUCCCGUGCUCGCUCAUGCACGCGCUGUGGCCGCCAAACAACUGCCCCCCGCGUGCAUUGCAAAGAUUUCCCAGUGACCAAAAAAGUGCCCCCUCGCUCUUGCAGCAGAGCCAGUGGAAGGUGGCGGUGGUGGGAGAUGAUGCUGGUGGUGGUGCUGAUGCUGCUGUUGCUGCUGCUCGGUAUGCUGCCGCGCUGCUCGCCUCCUCGCGGGCUGCUCAAAGCCUCCUUGUGUGUGCGCGCGCGCGUGUGAGGAGGGGAAAAAAAGAACACACACUCGUUCACUGAGUAACACACACUCAUACUAACACGCGCACACACUCACUCGCUCGCUCGCUCGUGCGCAAGCAGAAACACACAUAGACAGACAGACACACGCAUAUACACACGCAACGCAAAAGGUGGUGGAGAGACGAUGCAAGCACUGCAAGUCGCACUCCGCUCCCUCUCUCUCUCUCUCUCUCUCUCUCUCUCUCUCUCUUUCUCUUUCUCUCUCUCCCUACGUUUCCUCUCAAUCUCUCUCUCUUUCUCUCUCUCUCUCUCUCGGUGGUCGCGGUUCUCCCCACCGGUUGCUCAAACUGUGAGAUAAAGAUCCAGAGCGGCGCGGAUGCGCUGAGAGCGCGUGCAGGGGCGAGAGCGC
ensembl:lncRNA